ACCUCCAAAGUCUAAUAUUCUAUUCCCGAUCCCCGCGCCGUCCCCACCACCACCGAGGUGGCGGCUACCACGACCGCGAUGGAGGUUACCGCGACCGGCACCACCGCCGAGGCCGCCGCCGUUUAGCCUCCAGCGGUCGCCGAGAAAUAUAUGCAUAAAAAUCGCUUGCAAGAGUUUUGUGUGCAAACAUACAAGAAUCUGCCGAUCUACAAGGUUGAGUUUGAGGGCGAGUAUCAUCAACCUAAGUACAAAUGCACAGUAGAAGUGGAUGGUAAGCAGUUUUCAUCAACUAGUAGUUUCAGUCGUAAGAAGGAAGCAGAGCAGGAUGCUGCAAGAGUGGCUUAUGAGAUCUUGGCAACAAUUGGAGAGAGUGAUGUUAAAGAGGUCUUUGGGCUGAUCAAUCAGGAUGCGGUGUUCUGCAAAUCAAUUCUUUAUGAAUUUGCUGUCAAGACAAAAACCACUUGGCCCUCUUACUCUGUAGUUCGUCUCGAAAAGCCCUUCACCAUGUUUGUUGCAUCUGUGGUGUUUAAUGGGAAUACCUAUACUGGUGAAUCUGCAUCCAGCAAGAAGGAUGCAGAGCAGAAUGCAGCUCGUGCUGCGAUCAAGUCAAUCUUAGCUACAGAUAACUCUUGUAUGAUUGGAAUCAUUAGGUCAAAGAAGCAACUCAUUACUGCCAUCAAAUCUUCUGGAAGCACCCCAACUACUUUUACUCCUAUAAAGUUUACGCGCCCUGUUGCAUAUGCAGCAUAUGGCGGACCGGAUCAUGUAGCACCUGUGUCACAACAUAAAUCUUACUCAUUAGGUGUUCAAGGACACAGCAUUGUACCAGCAGUUGGGACAUCCGCCAACCCAUCUGCAAAAGCUGUAACUGGUUCAAAGAAGCGCAAGCGCAGAGUUGGAGCAGAGGCCAAUGAAACAAUGGUUGCCAAGGGGCAUUAACUUCUCACCCAUCAACACAAGUUUACUCAAAUUGUUAUUUCCAGUUGCAUGCCAUCGUAAUGUUUUGUGUUGAUGGUUCGCAAAGGCCCACCCCGUUAAUGGUGUGCUUAGAGUUGAUGGAAGUAACUGGCUUGCUCACAUGGUGCAGCGUGGCAUGUGCGUUUCUUCAGUAGGAUAUUUCAACUGAUAUGGGAUUGUUAUUUCCUUCCUAUCGCUCUAUAGAGCUGCAGGGUUAGGGUUAAUCAUCUUUGCCAUUGCCAAACAAAACUUCGGCGAUGUACUUAGUUCCUCCCUCCUCUUAGGACUUCUACAAGUUAACCAGUUAAUGUGGUGUCCAACUAAUGUCUGCGUAGUCUAUGUAAAGAUAUGUCCUGCGUCUGAUCAUCGCCGAUUCAUUGUGCUGGGUCCGUACAUGGUAACACAAUGUGGUAUUCUGGGAAGAAGCGAGCUUGUGCUUUCGUUCCUACUCAUGUAAACAGGUUUUUGGCAAUCAGUGAUAUGGGAAACCGUCGUUAUGUUCGCCUU